CCUACGGGUGGCAGCAGUGGGGAAUAUUGCGCAAUGCUCGUGAGAGUGACGCAGCGAAGCCGCGUGAAUGACGACGGCCUUCCGGUCGUAAAGUUCUUUCGACAGGGGAGAAAAUGCCUCUACGUAACUGUGUAUGUGUUGACGGUACCUGAAUAAGCAGCCCCGGCUAACUCCGUGCCCGCAGCCGCGGUAAUACGGAGGGGGCGAGCGUUGUUCGGAGUGACUGGGCGUAAAGGGGACGUAGGCGGUGGUGUAAGUCAUUAGUUAAAGAGUAGAGCUCAACUUUAGUAAGGCUAGUGAUACUAUAAUACUAGAGUAUCAGAGAGGAUUGCAGAAUGCCUGGUGUAGCGGUGAAAUGCGUAGAUAUCAGGAAGAAUACCGUUAGCGAAGGCAGCAAUCUGGCUGGAAACUGACGCUGAGGUGCGAAAGCGUGGGUAGCAAACAGGAUUAGAUACCCUAGUAGUC
rnacentral:rRNA from 1 species